rnacentral:rRNA from 1 species
UACGUAGGCAGCAAGCGUUGUUCGGAGUUACUGGGCGUAAAGGGUGUGUAGGCGGGUCUUUAAGUUUGGUGUGAAAUCUCCCGGCUCAACCGGGAGGGUGCGCCGAAUACUGAGGGACUAGAGUGCGGGAGAGGAAAGUGGAAUUCCUGGUGUAGCGGUGAAAUGCGUAGAUAUCAGGAGGAACACCGGUGGUGUAGACGGCUUUCUGGACCGUAACUGACGCUGAAACACGAAAGCGUGGGUAGCAAACAGG